UCACAGACGAUUCUUGUCUCUGAAGCCCAAUUUUGCUCGUUUUUGAUCCUCAAGCUUUGGGAGCUUGUUGGCAAACAAAAUGCAAGGACUGUCAAAAACUGUGAUCACAGAAGACUGCCAACACUCCCGAUUUAGGCGGGAGUCUACCGCUUUGUAACUUAUUCUCCCGCUGUACUCCCGAGUUGUUAUUUCUCCCGACAAUCUCCCUAUUUCACGUUGAUUUCAAUCAAAUGAGUGUCCCUCAACUUCUUUUUCAAGAAGUCCUCUACUUGAGCCUUAUAUUCAACCCCCCCAAAACGUCCACACCUCCUGUCCCUGUCGAUGGUUUGAUCCAAAAGACGCCGUAUGAGAUCGUUCCUGACAGCAGGAUACAGUCUGGAAUACAACAUGCUGAUUGGAUAUGUAGAUCACAAGCUGCUGGAACAAGAUGGUGUGAGCAGUGUAGCUUUGGCCAGGAAGGAGCUUUCACAACUCGUCUUGUGUGGCCACCCAAAAGUGAGGCUGAGUCCAAAGUUUUGCAGGAACUCUGCACAGCUAGUCCUUGGGUUUCCACAGGCUUGAGGAAAUGAGACAGAGAAAGAGGAAGAAAGAGAGCGUGUGUGAUACAUGGAGCAACACAGACGAGCGAGUGAGAGCUGUGUGGAAGCACACCAGCGGAGAAAGAAACCUGAUUUAUUAUCACCAAAAAUCAACUGCAGAUGUCAGCUCACAGAUUCUCGCUCUGCCGCCAAUUAUAGACACUCACGCAAAGAACUGCUCAGACCCAGAACUGUUUGACUCCAUCUACACACACAAUGAUAUACACACAAAUUUACACUGAAUUACAGCAGACGUACAUGGUCAUGGACGUACACAAAUUAACAGGCACAUCUGAAAGGAAACGCCUUUAAAGUUGAUUGAAAAAACAUGAGCUCCUGGACCAUUCACCCACCUGGAUUAUUUACCACCACUCCCCUCAAAUCCAUGCCAGUGACGAAUAAUGAAGAUGUCCAUAAAAAAGCAUUAGUGGUGUGAUGUCAGCUAUAGUACUCCCCGGAAAGAUUUCAACCCCCUCAAGGUA